GGAGGGUUAGCCAAGUGGUUACGGCAACGGUUUGCUAAACCGUCACGGUCCAAAAAGCCGUGCGUGGGUUCGAAUCCCACACCCUCCGCCA
rnacentral:tRNA from 2 species